rnacentral:rRNA from 1 species
UACGGAGGGUGCAAGCGUUAUCCGGAAUCACUGGGUUUAAAGGGUGCGUAGGCGGAGGAUUAAGUCAGUGGUGAAAGCUGGUCGCUUAACGAUCAAACUGCCAUUGAUACUGAUUUUCUUGAAUUGGGUUGAGGUUAGCGGAAUGUGACAUGUAGCGGUGAAAUGCAUAGAUAUGUCAUGGAACACCAAUUGCGAAGGCAGCUAACUGGGCCUUGAUUGACGCUGAGGCACGAAAGCGUGGGUAGCGAACAGG